GAAAGCGCCGGCUCCUGCUUUCAGCUCAGGCGCACAACCAGGCGGAGGGCAGACUUCUGCGCGAGGGUCUCGCGGAGAGCGCCCGCGAAGCGCGGAAGAAGCGCCUGCUCAUGGCUGGCAGCCUCAAGGAGAAAUCGGGGCGAGUCCCUGAGAGAGAGGAGAGUGUGGAUUGGGGCUACGAAGAAGGCGUUGAGUGGGGGCUAAUAUUUCCUGAUGCAAAUGGGGAGUAUCAGUCCCCUAUUAACUUGAAUUCAAGAGAGGCCAAAUAUGACCCAUUGUUACUGGAAGUACGCUUAUCACCAAAUUAUGUUGUAUGCCGUGAUUGUGAGAUCAUCAAUGACGGACACUCCGUUCAGAUCCUCUUAAAGACCAAGUCAAUGUUUGUAGGAGGGCCAUUACCUCGGGGGCAUGAAUUUGAACUUCACAAUGUUCGAUUUCACUGGGGCAGAGAAAAUCAGCGUGGCUCAGAACACACAGUUAAUUUUAAAGCGUUUCCCAUGGAGCUCCAUCUGAUCCACUGGAAUGCCACCAUGUAUCACAGUAUUGAUGAGGCCAUGGGAAAGAAGAAUGGUAUAGCCAUCAUUGCUUUAUUUGUGCAGAUAGGAAAGGAACAUUCAGGCCUAAAGGCUGUGACUGAAAUUCUGCAGGACAUCCAGUAUAAGGAUAACUCCAAGACAAUACCUUGCUUUAAUCCCAACACAUUAUUACCAGAUCCACUGCUAAGAGACUAUUGGGUGUAUGAAGGCUCUCUCACGGUGCCACCCUGCAGUGAAGGUGUUACAUGGAUCUUAUUUAGAUAUCCUUUAACUAUAUCCCAAGUUCAGAUAGAAGAGUUUCGAAGACUGAGGACACAUGUUAAAGGGGCAGACCUCCUAGGAAGUUGCGAUGGAAUCUUAGGAGAUAAUUUUAGACCAACCCAGCCACUCAGUGACAGAGUCAUAAGGGCUGCUUUCCAGUAACAAAGACAAAUAGUUAAAAAAGAAAAAGAAACAAAGUCAAAAUAUAGCAAUUCUGGGUCCAACAAGAUGAGAUGUUGGAGUUUCAUGACUGGAUCAUCUUUUAAUUCUGUGGAAAGCAGCUUCAGGAUUCCUGAAAUGGAUUGGGAACACAAUGCUGAGAAAGGUGGAAAACCCUUGAUUCUGAUUUGAACCAGUUGAUCUUGCCUGAAGAUUCUGUAGUCUUUGGACCUUCCUAAAACAUAUUAAGGAGAAUCAACCUAGAAACUUUUCUGAAGAAUAGAUCAUAUUGCUGGAUUCUUUCCUGAAAACACUGAAUUGGAUUUUAUAGCAAGGAGCCUAAACUCCCCUUUGAACUGGCAUAUUGACUUAACCUAAUAUGAUUUGCUUCAGUAGAAAUGGCUGAAGAUGCAAUGUGAGGUCAUUCAUCAAUCACACAGUGCAAGGAUAUAAUCUUGAACCCUGUUUCUUUCAGUUUCAUCUAAAGGCUAAAGAUGGCUUUGAGACCACAUUGUGAUUAAACAGCUUACAUAAAUUUGGGCUUUUACUGGAAUAAAGAUCUGUGAUAUUG